rnacentral:rRNA from 1 species
CUCUCGGCAACGGAUAUCUCGGCUCACGCAUCGAUGAAGAACGUAGCAAAAUGCGAUACUUGGUGUGAAUUGCAGAAUCCCGUGAACCAUCGAGUUUUUGAACGCAAGUUGCGCCCGAAGCCUUUUGGCCGAGGGCACGUCUGCCUGGGCGCCACAC